rnacentral:rRNA from 1 species
AGUGAACGCUGGCGGUAGGCCUAACACAUGCAAGUCGAACGGCAGCACAGUAAGAGCUUGCUCUUACGGGUGGCGAGUGGCGGACGGGUGAGGAAUACAUCGGAAUCUACUUUUUCGUGGGGGAUAACGUAGGGAAACUUACGCUAAUACCGCAUACGACCUACGGGUGAAAGCAGAGGAUCUUCGGACCUUGCGCGAUUGAAUGAGUCGAUGUCGGAUUAGCUAGUUGGCGGGGUAAAGGCCCACCAAGGCGACGAUCCGUAGCUGGUCUGAGAGGAUGAUCAGCCACACUGGAACUGAGACACGGUCCAGACUCCUACGGGAGGCAGCAGUGGGGAAUAUUGGACAAUGGGCGCAAGCCUGAUCCAGCCAUACCGCGUGGGUGAAGAAGGCCUUCGGGUUGUAAAGCCCUUUUGUUGGGAAAGAAAAGCAGCAGGUUAAUACCCCGCUGUUCUGACGGUACCCAAAGAAUAAGCACCGGCUAACUUCGUG